rnacentral:rRNA from 1 species
GUUCCACCUCUUCCCAUUCCGAACAGAGAAGUUAAGCCUGACCACGUCGAUGGUACUGCCGCAAGGUGGGAGAGUAGAUAGCCGCCGUUU